CCUACGGGAGGCAGCAGUGGGGAAUCUUGCGCAAUGGGCGGAAGCCUGACGCAGCGACGCCGCGUGCGGGACGAAGGCCUUCGGGUCGUAAACCGCUUUCAGCAGGGACGAGGCCCUCACGGUGACGGUACCUGCAGAAGAAGCCCCGGCUAACUACGUGCCAGCCGCCGCGGUAAUACGUAGGGGGCGAGCGUUAUCCGGAUUCUAUGGGGGUAAAGCGCGGGUCGGCGGGGUGUUAGGUCGGGGGUCAAAUACCGGGGCUCAACCCCCGGACGGCCCCGGAAACGGCAGGGCUUGAGUACGGGAGGGGAAGGCGGAAUUCCUAGUGUAGCGGUGGAAUGCGUAGAUAUUGGGAAGAACACCGGUGGCGAAGGCGGCCUUCUGGGCUACGACUGACGUUGAGGCGCGAAAGCGAGGGGAGCGAACAGGAUUAGAUACCCGGGUAGUC
rnacentral:rRNA from 1 species